CGGGAAUAUUGCGCAAUGGACGGAAGUCUGACGCAGCGACGCCGCGUGAGCGAUGAAGGUCUUCGGAUCGUAAAGCUCUGUCCUUGGGGAAGAAGGCGAAAGCUUGACGGUACCCAAGAAGAAAGCCCCGGCUAACUACGUGCCAGCAGCCGCGGUAAUACGUAGGGGGCGAGCGUUGUCCGGAAUUACUGGGCGUAAAGGGUGCGUAGGCGGCCCUUUAAGUCGGAUGUGAAAGCCCGCGGCUUAACCGCGGAAUGGCAUUCGAAACUGGAGGGCUUGAGUGUCGGAGAGGGUAGUGGAAUUCCCAGUGUAGCGGUGAAAUGCGUAGAUAUUGGGAGGAACACCAGUGGCGAAGGCGACUACCUGGACGAUAACUGACGCUGAGGCACGAAAGCUAGGGGAGCAAAC
rnacentral:rRNA from 1 species